rnacentral:rRNA from 1 species
AUACGGAGGAUGCGAGCGUUAUCCGGAUUUAUUGGGUUUAAAGGGUGCGCAGGCGGCCAUUUAAGUCAGCGGUUAAAUCGUGGGGCUCAACCCCAUUCUGCCGUUGAUACUGGGUGGCUUGAUUGCGGUCGAGGUUGGCGGAAUUCGUUGUGUAGCGGUGAAAUGCAUAGAUAUGACGAAGAACACCGAUUGCGUAGGCAGCUGACCAGAUCGCAAAUGACGCUCAUGCACGAAAGUGCGGGGAUCGAACAGGAUUAGAUACCCUGGUAGUCCGCACAGUAAACGAUGAAUACUUGUUUUCGGCGAUAUAAUGUCGGAGGCAAAGCGAAAGCGAUAAGUAUUCCACCUGGGGAGUACGCCGGCAACGGUGAAACUCAAAGGAAUUGGCGGGG